rnacentral:rRNA from 1 species
UACGGGGGGAGCAAGCGUUGUUCGGAUUUACUGGGCGUAAAGGGCGCGUAGGCGGUCAGUGCAAGUCAGUUGGGAAAUCUCUGGGCUUAACCCAGAACGGUCAACUGAUACUGCUCGACUAGAGUACAGAAGGGGCAACUGGAAUUCUCGGUGUAGCGGUGAAAUGCGUAGAUAUCGAGAGGAACACCUGCGGCGAAGGCGGGUUGCUGGGCUGAUACUGACGCUGAGGCGCGAAGGCCAGGGGAGCAAACGGG